GCGGGCAGCGCUGCCCUAAUAUGGGCGCGGGCUCCGGGGGGCCGGCGGGGCGGGGCGGUAGCCGCCCGCGGUCGCAGCCCGGCCGCCCUCUUCCAAAGAGUUCCCGGGCCGUGUCAGGCGAGCGGGCCGGGAGAGCGAGGACGUGGCGUCCCAGCCGCCUCCUGACAGCUGGAGAGCCCGGCUGCCUUGCAUAUGUAUCCUCUGUGUGGUGUGCAAGCUUCCUCUGCUUAGGAUUUGGAGUUUCCUGAAGGCAGGAAGCAUUUCUCCCACAACAGACUGAAGAGCUGCCAUCCUCCACCCCUAAAGGGAUCAGGAAUCUGGGAGUGGCUUGGCUGGGUAGCUCUGGCUCAGCUCUCAUGAAAUUAUGGUCAAAACAUUAGGCAAGGCUGUGGCAUCGGAGGCCAGAUUCAGACCAGAGGAUCCACUUGCAAGGCUGCCUGUUCAUGUGACUGGCAGGUGGGUGCUGGCGGUCGGGGGCAAGCCUUGGGUCCUCUUCAAGAGGACCUCUCCAUGGGGCCUGUGCUUCCUCACAAUGUGGUUGCUGGAUUCCAAAGGCAAACAUCUUGAGACAGAGAGAGCCAGGCAGAAGCUGAAUCCUUUUUCAUGACCUAAGCUUCAGAAGUCACGUGAUCACCUCUGCUGUGCUGUAGGUCAGGACAACCCCAAGCCCCCUCUGACUCAGGGGGGAGGGAUCGUAAACCCCACCUCUCAGCAGGAGGACUUCUGGCCACAUUGUAAGAAGAGCUGCUGGGAUGGGAUAAAUGUGUGCGUGUGGCCACCUUUGGAGAAUAGAGUGCCACAACAUCUCUGGCUCUUGGGAGCCUGUGGCCAGCACCCACGGGUGACCAAGUAUUCUCUGACACCUGGAACUCAAACAGCCGUAUCACUGAAGUCCUGAGAUAAAGAGGAAAAUAAAUUCAGAGUCCUAAUUCUUCACCAUUCCCAGUAUCCACACCAUUUGCACAGUCUUAGAGUGCCUUCCUUACCCUGAAUCUGGCCCCAACCAGAUGACUUGCCUUGACCAACAGGUUAUGGUUUUAAGGCCCAAGUUUGGGGGUGGGCCAGUUAUGAUGCAUUCUGAGGGAGUGAAUAACUGACAUAGCCCUCUCCUCAUGCUGCCACGGAAGGACGUCCCGCACUGGGAGCCUGUGUUCUAGUCGGGCUCAGUCCCUCUAAUAGACAGGAUAAUGCCCGGUGUCCGUGUCUUAAUCCCCAGAACCUGUGAAUAUGUUAUCCAACAAGGCAAAAGGGACCUUGCAGAUGGGAUUAAGUUAAGGAUCUUGAGGUGGAGACAGUCCCCUGGAUUAUCCACGUGGGCCCAACCUCAUUGCACCGGCCUUUAUGAGGGGGAGGCAGGAAGGCCACAACCAGAGGGGAGGUGUGAGGGUUGGGCAGAGUGUCGGGUGUGUGUUCCGCUGACGAUGGAGGAUGGGGCCACGGCCAGGGCAUGUGGAAAGUCUCUAGAAGCUGCGAAAGGCAAGGAAACACGUUUUCCCCUGGAGCCUCCAGGAGAAACACAGUUCUGCUGAAACCUUGAUUUUCACCUGUCAGACACAUUUUGGACUUCAGACUUACAGAAUUAAUUUGUUGUGUGAAGCCAUUAAGUUUGUGCUAAUUUGUUAUAGCAGCAAUAGGAAACUAAGGGAGUAACUAACAACUCUCUGACCUAGAAGCAAUCAGGUACCACUGUGGGCCGCACUUAUUCCUUCUGGCAAAUGGGGAUGUGGUAGAUUAAAGACACCACGGAUUUUCACUUCUCCCUUUGAUCUGGGUUGACCUUAGUGGUUUGCUUGACCAAUAGAAUGUGGCACAAGCGAUGUUCUGGAAUAUUCAAGGCUUGUAAUAAGAAAGCUUGCAGCUUCCCUUCAGGUCUCUCAAAACACUUUUGGGGGCCCCAGCAGCCAGCCCCUCUUUUAAGCCAGGGCUGUCUCCUAGGCAAGCCAGUUACCCUUUCUCAAUCUUUCACCAAAAUUUCU